UACGUAGGGUGCAAGCGUUGUCCGGAAUUACUGGGCGUAAAGCGUGCGCAGGCGGUGAUGUAAGACAGGUGUGAAAUCCCCGGGCUUAACCUGGGAACUGCAUUGUGACUGCAUCGCUGGAGUGCGGCAGAGGGGAUGGAAUUCCGCGUGUAGCAGUGAAAUGCGUAGAUAUGCGGAGGAACACCGAUGGCGAAGGCAAUCCCCUGGGCCUGCACUGACGCUCAUGCACGAAAGCGUGGGAGCAAACAGG
rnacentral:rRNA from 1 species